UACGUAGGGUGCAAGCGUUGUCCGGAAUUAUUGGGCGUAAAGAGCUCGUAGGCGGUUUGUCGCGUCUGCUGUGAAAAUCCAGGGCUUAACCCUGGACCUUGCAGUGGGUACGGGCAGACUAGAGUGCGGGUAGGGGAGAUCGGAAUUCCUGGUGUAGCGGAUGAAAUGCGCAGAUAUCAGGAGGAACACCGGUGGCGAAGGCGGAUCUCUGGGCCGUAACUGACGCUGAGGAGCGAAAGCAUGGGGAGCGAACAGG
rnacentral:rRNA from 1 species